UUAAAUUGAAGAGUUUGAUCAUGGCUCAGAUUGAACGCUGGCGGCAGGCCUAACACAUGCAAGUCGAACGGUAACAGGAAGAAGCUUGCUUCUUUGCUGACGAGUGGCGGACGGGUGAGUAAUGUCUGGGAAACUGCCUGAUGGAGGGGGAUAACUACUGGAAACGGUAGCUAAUACCGCAUAACGUCGCAAGACCAAAGAGGGGGACCUUCGGGCCUCUUGCCAUCGGAUGUGCCCAGAUGGGAUUAGCUAGUAGGUGGGG
rnacentral:rRNA from 1 species